rnacentral:rRNA from 1 species
AGUCACUGACAUUAGACUACCCGUGUAGUCCAGGGUGUAAACGCUGCAGACUUGGUGUUGGAAGCCCUUUGGGGGGCAUUCAGUGCCGGAGAGAAGUUGUUAAGUCUGCUACUUGGGGAGUACGUCCGCAAGGAUGAAACUUAAAGGAAUUGGCGGGGGAGCACCGCAACGGGAGGAGCGUGCGGUUUAAUUGGAUUCAACACCGUAAAACUCACCAGGGAAGACUGUUACAUGAAGGCCGAGAUUAAGACUCUGCUAGAUUUUCAG